AUGUAGUCCAAGCAAAAAGAUUGUAUCUUACAGCCGUGUUACAUGUAGCAAACUUCAACUACUUGAAGACUGGGGGCUUCCACCCUGCACAAUGUGGAAAGGGUAAACUGUCAAGAGUAUUUGGGACAAGGGCAGAGAACCAUUGGAUCCUUUAGCAUUAGUAUCAGGAUGUAGGCACUAGGAGUUGUGUAGGUUCAUUUGCAAAAGCUGUUCACAAAUACAUUUUUCAGAAAAUUCAAGCAUGAUUUUUAACAAAAGUAGUGUUUCUUGGGUUGGCUAUUUAACAUUCAUGUCUAUUCUUUAAUUUAAUGCCUUGUAUUACAAAGGGGUUGAAAAUAAAAGUUAAGUCUCUGGCAUGGUGGAAUGAUGGAAUGCUGUCCUUGCUUUUAAGGCUUUAUAAAAAACAAAAUAGGCUUUUCCAUAAGUGGCCUUUAUGAAAACAUGGAAAACACUUCAUGUUUAAAACGACAGGGUGAAAAAAACCCAGUGAAAAUGAGUCACGUUUUAAGUGAUUCAGUUAAAGGGUUUGGGCUUCAGCAAGCAAACUAGUAUGCUGGAUAAUAAGGAAGUUGAGUGAAUUUUUUUUUUUUUUAAAUCUUACUAGACCAUUUUUUUGAAUGUCCCUCCGCCACAAAAAGG